UACGAAGGGGGCGAGCGUUAUUCGGAAUCACUGGGCGUAAAGCGUGCGUAGGCUGUUUUGUAAGUUGGGAGUGAAAGCCCAGGGCUCAACCCUGGAAUUGCUCUCAAAACUACAAGACUCGGAUUUGGGAGAGGAUAGCGGAAUUGUCAGUGUAGCAGUGAAAUGCGUAGAUAUUGACAGGAACACCAGUGGCGCAAGCGGCUAUCUGGACCAACAGCGACGCUGAGGCACGAAAGCGUGGGGAUCAAACAGG
rnacentral:rRNA from 1 species